CUUAAAAGAGAGUCUUUCGCCACAAUAUGAACAGGCAAAAGGUUUCUCACCAGUGUGUGUUCUGGUGUGUCUUUUUAAGAUUCUCUUGUCAGAGAAUUUUCGGCCACAAACUGAACAGGCAAAAGGUUUCUCACCAGUGUGUAUUCUUCCGUGCUUUUUUAAGGUUCCCUUCUGAGAGAAUCUUUGGCCACAAACUAAGCAGGCAAAAGGCUUCUCACCAGUGUGGAUUCUCACAUGCAUUUUCAAAGCACUCUGACAAGUAAA